rnacentral:rRNA from 1 species
GACGAACGCUGGCGGCGUGCUUAACACAUGCAAGUCGAACGCUGAAGCUCAGCUUUUGUUGGGUGGAUGAGUGGCGAACGGGUGAGUAACACGUGAGUAACCUGCCCCCUUCUUUGGGAUAACGCCCGGAAACGGGUGCUAAUACUGGAUAUUCACUGGUCUUCGCAUGGGGGUUGGUGGAAAGGGUUUUUCUGGUGGGGGAUGGGCUCGCGGCCUAUCAGCUUGUUGGUGGGGUGAUGGCCUACCAAGGCUUUGACGGGUAGCCGGCCUGAGAGGGUGACCGGUCACAUUGGGACUGAGAUACGGCCCAGACUCCUACGGGGGGCAGCAGUGGGGAAUAUUGCACAAUGGGCGCAAGCCUGAUGCAGCGACGCCGCGUGAGGGAUGGGGGCCUUCGGGUUGUGAACCUCUUUCGCUCAUGGUCAAGCCGCAACAAUGGUUGUGGUGAGGGUAGUGGGUAAAGAAGCGCCGGCUAACUACGUG